CUGGUUCACAGGUGUUGCAUGCUUGUUGUCAGCUCGUGUCGUGAGAUGUUGGUUUAAGUCCCGCAACGAGCGCAACCCUUGUCCUAUGUUGCCAGCACGUAAUGGUGGGGACUCAUGGGAGACUGCCGGGGUCAACUCGGAGGAAGGUGGGGAUGACGUCAAAUCAUCAUGCCCCUUAUGUCUUGGGCUUCACGCAUGCUACAAUGGCCGGUACAGUGGGUUGCGAUACUGUGAGGUGGAGCUAAUCCCUAAAAGCCGGUCUCAGUUCGGAUCGAAGUCUGCAACUCGACUUCGUGAAGUUGGAGUCGCUAGUAAUCGCAGAUCAGCAACGCUGCGGUGAUACGUUCCCGGGCAUUGUACACACCGCCCGUNA
rnacentral:rRNA from 1 species